GUAUAGAUCAGUAACUGUAUCGAAUUACUAGGUACUUCGAAUUGUGCGCUAUAGUUGUGCUUUUGUCAGUCUUGUGUAAGAGAUAGGUAUGGUUUUGUAUCAAGGGAAGUUUUUUCAGUCGGGGAUUAUCCGUCUGUAAGCCUCUCGGUGAGGACAAUGGAAUCCAACGUCGAAAAUGGAGCCGUUUUGAAGUUUUGACGUUCUUUGUAUUCAUCUACCCCUCGCUGAUACUACUUACAACUUGAAUGUUGCUUUUGGUUCGGGGUUUGUUCAUUGAUCUUUUGGAGGUUGUGCGAUGAGUGCUCGUCAAAAAAAUCCGCACGUGCUGACAAUUGUUUGCUUUGCGGUUUGUGGGUGCGAAGUCUGAUAUUAAUACCACCCCCACUUUAGACUCAUCACAUGCCGAACUUCCUACAUCAUAAAUGAGAUUUAUGAGUUCCUCAUGUCUGCUCACACACCGGGUCGAAUCCCAUCAUAUUUUUUCCCUAAAUCAAGCGCCGGCGCGUCGUCGACGAGAAUUUUAAUGUGCGCACGCUGUUGCUGGGUGGUUAAUUAUAGGCAAUUUGGGUAAAUAUUUUAAACGUGCCCCGGCCAGCAUCUUACACGCCUCAUUAUGCCACAUUUGGGGCAAUUUGGAGAGGAACUAGGAAUUAAAACCCACUAAAACAAUCACCAUUACCUACCAGCUUGCUUGGUGAUUUAAAUUUUUCGAAAUUUUCAGCUUUUUUCGCUGAGUAAUUGAUACAACGUGUUCGUUCUGCCAGAGGUUUACCUCCUAAUAUCUCCGGCGCUUGCACACAUCCGGAUUCUUGACAUAAGUACAACCAUAUGGACACAUCCCGUCAUCAACUGCUUGUUGUGGGGUCGUCGCUAAAUUUUACCGAAAAAAUAUAACUCACACAUUCCUAUUUAAUUGAAUGCGAUCGGUUUUUGUUUUGUCUACAGAUUCAAGAGUGUCUAGACAUGACAUUUUAUCAUUUUGGCAGACGGGGGUCACGUUCGCCUCGAUUUACAUGCACUUACGCCACGAUAUGACAAUAAGUAAUGCAGGAAAAUUACAUUAUCCUGGCCAGCGAUGCGGAAUCGCCUAUUUGUAGGGGUGGCACAGGGACGCGCUACAUAAAACCGAAUUACUGUCACUUUUCGCCGACUAUUCAAGGGGGUGCAGUCUGCAAUGUACCUAAUGCAAUGCGCCACCAGACGGCAUAUAAACGAAUUAUACAACAAACACACUUGCUGACUAAUGAAACUACAAUUGGAUUACGAUGUUGUUUCUGGUGCUGAUGUAUUGAUCAUUUGGAAAAAUGUUAGGUUAUGUUAGGUUUAGAAUUUGGAUGUUUUUUCUGAAUUAUGAUGUAGUUGUCGAUUUUCAAAGACAAAAUAUUUAAAUAUUCAACAUUUUUGUAAUCGAAAGGUUUCCGAUUUCUGAUCAGAAAUGUUUUUUCAAUAACCAAUGGUGUGUAGUAGUCGUUGUCGUACGAAAAUCGUCCCGUUUCGUGGAUACUUUGGACGUGUUCUUAAUGUCCGUUUUUAUCUUUACGACGCCCCGUCCAGUUUUAUCCUUUUCAAGCGGUGAGACGAAAAAUACGAUCGUAAAUAUUGUUUGGGCUUCGAGCGCGCGCAGUUCCCAUCGUACACGUUUAUGAUAUUCAGUUUUAUAGUAAAUUUAAUAUGAAAAUAAAUCAAUUACAGGUAGAUAUCAUUUAUAUUGUUGGUUAGUUUUUGGUAGUCGCGGUGCUGCCAGUGUCGAUAAUUAUACGUGUACAUGCUAUCAAGGGGGUCAUUCAUUAAAAACGUCAAUUAGCAUUUAAACAUGUCCGAGCGCGCGACAGAAACCGACGCGGUCUUAACUCGAAAUCGAGAUCUUCCAAUUAAAUUUAAUUUUAUCAUUUUAUUUUGUUUGGUUUGUGGUUGCUAUGGCUGGUCACGUUUGUGCAUAAAUUUGCACUUAGCGCGGUUGUCGCACGGGCGAAAUAAACAUUUUCGAGAAUAAAAUACACACAACA